CGUAGGGUCCGAGCGUUGUCCGGAAUUAUUGGGCGUAAAGGGCUCGUAGGCGGUUUGUCACGUCGGGAGUGAAAACUCAGGGCUCAACCCUGAGCGUGCUUCCGAUACGGGCAGACUAGAGGUAUGCAGGGGAGAACGGAAUUCCUGGUGUAGCGGUGGAAUGCGCAGAUAUCAGGAGGAACACCGGUGGCGAAGGCGGUUCUCUGGGCAUUACCUGACGCUGAGGAGCGAAAGCAUGGGGAGCGAACAGGAUUAGAUACCCUGGUAGUCCAUGCCGUAAACGUUGGGCGCUAGGUGUGGGGACCUUCCACGGUUUCCGUGCCGCAGCUAACGCAUUAAGCGCCCCGCCUGGGGAGUACGGCCGCAAGGCUA
rnacentral:rRNA from 1 species